AUGUCUUGGUUUGGGGAAGAAACAUUCCAUGCAUGUUUCAACAGGAAUCCAGAAGCUCUUCGAUGUUUGCUUAACCAAGUCUUGUCACGCCCUGGUUUGAAGGUUCAAAACAUGAUUUUGCUUCUGAUUCCACCACCCAGUGGCUAGCCCCAGUUGGGGUCAUAGGAUCUCUGGUCAUUGGACUCCUUGCUGCACUGCUGAUAUUUAAGAGGCGCUCCGCCCAACGUAAGUACAUGAAUUGUCAUACAUACUCAUACAUUACAGACUGAUGACAGCUCUCGUAGACUGUGUGCUACGUGGGCCUGGCUGAUAUGUGUGAUCUCUCUGUGUGUGUGUGUGUGUGUGUGUGUGUGUGUGUGUGUGUGUAACCGUUAGGAAUUUUAUGAAUAAUGACUAAACAAUAUCUACAUUUAAAUAGAACUAUAACUAAUUAAACUCUACCCUGUUCUCUACCCUGUUUUAUUAUAUCUGAUUAAUAAUGUUCGUUCAUAAGGAAGGGAUUGUGUAGCAUGAAACAGGAGGUAAUUAACCGUAAUAAACACCAUUCCAGCUAGGUUGGGGAGGAAUAGAUUGUGGGUUUUUAAGUAAGCAAAAAGGGUCGUUAACCUAUGGUUGAACCGACUCAACUUAGCUCUGGGAUGUUUAGAUAAGGCAGUGAGUGCCUCCCUAGGUUUUCCAUUAUCUGGAGCUGUCUGCUGAAUAGUGAUAGAUGGCGGUAAGAUUUCAGAAGUUAAUCUUGAUAUGCUUUGUGUCUGGAGUGAGUGAGCUGUUUUGUCUUGGUCAAUAGGAGGAAGGAUAUUUUAUAACCGAUGACGUCAUAUUUUGAAUAUAAACUGUUGUUUGUGGUUCCUUGGCAGCGAGCUCCGAGAAUAAAUACUAUUAUCUAAUUUUGAUAAGACUGGUCUCUGUCUAUUUUAUUUAAAUAGGAAUCUUACAAAUUCUUAUAAAAUAGACUGAGUGAAUUUAAUGAUAGGAAUUAUGAAAUUCCGAUGACAGUAACUCCUUCAUGAACAGAUAUCAUUGUAUGAAGCUUUGUUGAGCAUCUUGGAUCUCUGCUUGGCAUGCUAGUUUGUGCUAAAUGAACCUGUGCAGUGGGACUGGGUGCUUUGGCAGCCAGCCAUUUUGGCUCUGAAUGGGGAUGCUUACCUUAAAGUCGCACUGCCAAGUACCCCAGUAGUCAAACAACCUAGUGAAAAUACCCCAGGCUCAGCCAGUCGACAAGUACGGUAUAUAAACAUCUUUACUAUAUGAUCAGUGGCUUUCAGCCAUGUGUGGUAUAGGCUUAUAUUAACCAUGAAAAACAGUGCAUUUCAUGCUCAAUCCAAGUCAAUAUUAGUGGAUUAAGCAUGAAAUGCACUAGUAGGCUAUUUAUUGUUCAUCAACAUUGCAUUUGGUUUACUUAUUAGCUUUUUUAUGUAUACUGUACAAAAGUAUAAAUGCAACAUGCAACAAUUUCAACUAUUUUACAGAGUUACAGUUCAUAUAAGUAAAUCAGUCAACUGAAAUAAAUAAAUAAAUCCUAAUCUAUGGAUUUCACUUGACUGGGGAGGGGUGCAGCAAUGGGUGAGCCUGGGAGGGCAUAGGCCCACCCACUUGGGA
rnacentral:lncRNA from 1 species